CAUUUGCCAAGGAUGUUUUCAUUGAUCAAGAACGAAAGUUGGGGGCUCGAAGACGAUUAGAUACCGUCGUAGUCUCAACCAUAAACGAUGCCGACUAGGGAUUGGCAGGUGUUUCGUUGAUGACCCUGCCAGCACCUUAUGAGAAAUCAAAGUUUUUGGGUUCCGGGGGGAGUAUGGUCGCAAGGCUGUAACUUAAAGAAAUUGACUGAAGG
rnacentral:rRNA from 1 species